rnacentral:tRNA from 1 species
GCCUCCGUGGCGCAAUCGGCUAGCGCGUUCGGCUGUUAACCGAAAGGUUGGUGGUUCGAGCCCACCCGGGGGUG